rnacentral:rRNA from 1 species
GACGAACGCUGGCGGCGUGCUUAACACAUGCAAGUCGAGCGGUAAGGCCCUUUCGGGGGUACACGAGCGGCGAACGGGUGAGUAACACGUGGGUGACCUGCCCUCAGCUCUGGGAUAAGCCCGGGAAACUGGGUCUAAUACCGGAUAUGACUUCAUGACGCAUGUUGUGGGGUGGAAAGCCUUGUGCGGCUGAGGAUGGGCCCGCGGCCUAUCAGCUUGUUGGUGGGGUGAUGGCCUACCAAGGCGACGACGGGUAGCCGGCCUGAGAGGGCGACCGGCCACACUGGGACUGAGACACGGGCCCAGACUCCUACGGGAGGCAGCAGUGGGGAAUCUUGCGCAAUGGGCGAAAGCCUGACGCAGCGACGCCGCGUGAGGGAUGACGGCCUCGG